GGGUUGUGAGGUUAAGCGACUAAGCGUACACGGUGGAUGCCCUGGCAGUCAGAGGCGAUGAAGGGCGUGCUAAUCUGCGAUAAGCGCCGGUAAGGUGAUAUGAACCGUUAUAACCGGCGAUACCCGAAUGGGGAAACCCAGUGUGAUUCGUCACACUAUCAUUAACUGAAUCCAUAGGUUAAUGAGGCGAACCGGGGGAACUGAAACAUCUAAGUACCCCGAGGAAAAGAAAUCAACCGAGAUUCCCCCAGUAGCGGCGAGCGAACGGGGAGGAGCCCAGAGCCUGAAUCAGCAUGUGUGUUAGUGGAAGCGUCUGGAAAGGCGCGCGAUACAGGGUGACAGCCCCGUACACAAAAGCGCAUGUGCUGUGAGCUCGAUGAGUAGGGCGGGACACGUGGUAUCCUGUCUGAAUAUGGGGGGACCAUCCUCCAAGGCUAAAUACUCCUGACUGACCGAUAGUGAACCAGUACCGUGAGGGAAAGGCGAAAAGAACCCCGGCGAGGGGAGUGAAAAAGAACCUGAAACCGUGUACGUACAAGCAGUGGGAGCCCCACCACUAAGCCAGUGGUGAACUCCACAUACGCAUCCUUUGCUGAAGGCAAUGGUUAACGGAGCGAAAGCGACGUUCAACCGCAAAACAAGCAGAGGGGGCUUAGUGGUGGGGUGACUGCGUACCUUUUGUAUAAUGGGUCAGCGACUUAUAUUCUGUAGCAAGGUUAACCGUAUAGGGGAGCCGGAGGGAAACCGAGUCUUAAUUGGGCGUUAAGUUGCAGGGUAUAGACCCGAAACCCGGUGAUCUAGCCAUGGGCAGGUUGAAGGUUGGGUAACACUAACUGGAGGACCGAACCGACUAAUGUUGAAAAAUUAGCGGAUGACCUGUGGCUGGGGGUGAAAGGCCAAUCAAACCGGGAGAUAGCUGGUUCUCCCCGAAAGCUAUUUAGGUAGCGCCUCGUGAAUUCAUCUCCGGGGGUAGAGCACUGUUUCGGCUAGGGGGCCAUCCCGGCUUACCAACCCGAUGCAAACUGCGAAUACCGGAGAAUGUUAUCACGGGAGACACACGGCGGGUGCUAACGUCCGUCGUGAAGAGGGAAACAACCCAGACCGCCAGCUAAGGUCCCAAAGUCAUGGUUAAGUGGGAAACGAUGUGGGAAGGCCCAGACAGCCAGGAUGUUGGCUUAGAAGCAGCCAUCAUUUAAAGAAAGCGUAAUAGCUCACUGGUCGAGUCGGCCUGCGCGGAAGAUGUAACGGGGCUAAACCAUGCACCGAAGCUGCGGCAGCGAACGUAUCACUUAAAGCGAUUCAGCGGGUUACGAUUGACGGAGCGAAGCGACGUCAAAGCGUAUACAAAGUCGAGUCGGUUUAAGGAUACGUUCGUUGGGUAGGGGAGCGUUCUGUAAGCCUGUGAAGGUGGCCUGUGAGGGUUGCUGGAGGUAUCAGAAGUGCGAAUGCUGACAUAAGUAACGAUAAAGCGGGUGAAAAGCCCGCUCGCCGGAAGACCAAGGGUUCCUGUCCAACGUUAAUCGGGGCAGGGUGAGUCGACCCCUAAGGCGAGGCCGAAAGGCGUAGUCGAUGGGAAACAGGUUAAUAUUCCUGUACUUGGUGUUACUGCGAAGGGGGGACGGAGAAGGCUAUGUUGGCCGGGCGACGGUUGUCCCGGUUUAAGCGUGUAGGUGUGUGUUCCAGGUAAAUCCGGUUCACUUUAACACUGAGGCGUGAUGA
rnacentral:rRNA from 1 species